rnacentral:lncRNA from 1 species
GGAGGAGGGGGUGCCGCCGCCGCCGCCGCCGCCGCUCGUCCGUCAGCUCCAACAGUUUGCUAUCACCCCGCUUACCUGUGUGGGCCUGAUGUAAAGCGGGUUGUCGACUCCUCUGCCAUGAAGGAAAUCCACUGCAUCGUCAUGACGAUGGACCGAAGGUAACCCAGAGUAAUUCACGCCGACAGUCCGGCUGAUGACCAGCUACUUGUUCCUGAAUCAAAGAUGCAUGCUCAUCCCUCUGACCGCCACUGAGCCGAUCCAACCCUCCAGCAGACCCCAUCUCCACUCCCACUGAACUCCACUGUACUCUAGUCUUCUCUACUUCAGGCGUUAUCCUCUCUGAGCCUCUGGUGAUCGG